AAUGCUCAAAGGAUAAAUGUUAAAAUUUUAAAAAUAAUUUUGUUCUGAACUCACAAGUAUAGGUAGUGUGCUACACGAGGGGCAAGUUUUUCACGAACACUCCAUUCUGACCCAAUGAGUGGAGUUUGAUUAUGUAAUCCUUGCUACAAGU
rnacentral:snoRNA from 1 species